rnacentral:rRNA from 1 species
UGACCAAGAGCGAAAGUUAAGGGUUCGAAAACGAUCAGAUACCGUUGUAGUCUUAACUAUAAAUGAUACAGACUAGGGAUAGGACACUGUCCAUUCCGACUCCUUCUGCACCUCGGAGAAAUUAGAGUCUUUGGGUUCUGGGGGGAGUAUGGUCGCAAGGCUGAAACUUAAAGGAAUUGACGGAAAGACACACAAAGAGUGGAACCUGCGGCUUAACACACCGAUAGGCCGAAGAGCGACCCGAAAGGGAUUGCUAGUCUGGGGGUUGACUUCCCCCUGGGCGACACCAUCAAAUUGCGGGGAGUCCUUAAAGCUUGAUCUACCACCUACGCGUCUAACAGACGGAAAAAUCACGGGCGUUAAAACCUCUUUGAGCGGGGGAGUCGCGUGCGUAGUACCUGGGGUAAUGACCUAAGGCAUGGUAAAAACGAUUGAGAUAUAUAGGUUAUCCGCAGCCAAGUUCGUUUAAGGCUCUUGCUAGCUUGCUUUGUUAAGGCAACUACCUGAUGGCUACGAAUGCAGUUCACAGACUAAACGGUGGUGGGUGGGUGCAAAGCCUGGGUGUGAGCUUCCCUGUUUCAUUACGGGGGGUUCGCGUUUGGGCCUGCUCUGCUUAAGAUAUAGUCGGGCCCACCCGAAAGGGUGCCUUAGGAUGAAAGUUGACUCCGGUUGACCUGAGCCUGGGGAGGUUGAUGCACGGUAAUGGCACUUGUGUCGUUGUCGGGUUCGACUGGGAACAAACCGUAAUUUGACUCAACACGGGAAAACUCACCAGGUCCGGAUACACGUAUGAAAGUCAAGCUGAAAGACUUUACUCAAUGAUGUAAGUGGUGGUGCAUGGCCGUUCGUAGUUCGUGGAUUGAUUUGUCUGGUUUAUUCCGAUAACGAGCGAGACCCCAACGUUCCUAAUAGGGGCAAUGGCCAAGCUGGUCGCAAGACUGGUUAGCCAGGGCUUUAGAAACUUAGCUUCUUAGACGUAUCAGAGCCGAUAAGGCACUUGAAAUGGGUUAAUAACAGGUCAGUCAUGCCCUUAGAUGUUCUGGGCCGCACGCGCGUUACAAUGGCAUGUAAAACACGUUGCCUAAUCGAAAAAAGGCUCUGCCGAGGCCGAAAGGUCCCUGGDAAUCCUUAAUCCCUGCCUUGACUGGGACAGAUCAUUGCAAUUAUUGGUCUCUAACGAGGAAUUUUUAGUAAUCGUAGGUCAUUAACCUGCGG